UAAAUAAACCACAUUCUGAUAUUCACUGUUUCUCAUGAGUAGUACAAGCUUUGCUGAGCUUCCUUUGAAGAGAAAACACAUACCUGAAUUCAGGUCAGGUCACUCUUAGAGGGUUGAAGCUCCAUAAGGAAGUUGACACCAGUCUCCUUUUCCUUGCUGCAGUGCAGUGUAGCUCCAUGUUUUUUCCACUGCUAUUUGCAAUUAAAUGGAGCAGCCCUUCCUGAGAUCCUCUCACCUCUUGGGUGAAAAACAAUAGAAGAGAAAAAUAAUUUCUUCCUCCAAAGCAUCCUGAUAUUUUCUGCUCCAGAUGCCUGCCCUGUGCUCUUCACCCAAUCAAAGACAAAACCAAAUGGCCUCAGUAAACCCAAAUGAAACCUCACUGAAAUUUAAAAGCUGUGUGGAUGAGGCAGCUGGAGACAUGGGUUAAUGGUAGGCUUGACAGUGCUGGAGAAUGGUUGAACUCGAUGAGCUUAGAGAACUUUCUCAACCUAAAUAAUUCCAUGAUUAUGUGAUUCUGUGAUUAUGAAAUCACAUCUCUUCCCAGCACAGUGCUCGAGUGGGGACAGUGCUGGUUUUGACCCCAGGGAAGGGAGGGGUGGGUGUGGACAGUCCUAGGUUACUGAAGGGAUGGGGAAGCCCUAAAAAAGAAGGAGGUGAGAAAACAGCACCGAGUGACUGGUGCAAGCAGGGGAAGCCUGGUGUGUGGGAGUGCUCCAGCCAACACUUCCAAACAACCAGUGGAGCAGAGACAUCAUAUCCAUGGGACAUGCAACCAAAAACCACAAGGAAUCACUACAGCAUCCCCCUCACCUGGGCACCUUGGAACCUCCUCUGCAGCAGGCAGACAAUAUUUCUCCUAGACUGUACAGAUUUCUUUUCUCAAAAGCAAAGGAGAAGGAAAAAAUACAAAGUAAUCCAGAAUAAAGAAAAAAAAAAACAAAAUCUCUCUUUAGCAAGUUCUUCCAGGUUGGGCUGGGUGAGAGCCAAGUUUAACACCUCCUGCAUGGUUGUGAGAGCUCCUUGUCAGCUUCUCCAUGGCACAGAAUUUUCUCUAGCACCUAUUACUCCCCACCAUCCCACUCAUAAUGCCCCGUGUUACCCUGCCCAGGGUCUCAUCACUUCAAAGGAGCCCCAACCCUGCCCAGCUGCAUCCUCAGCACUGCUCCUCCCUCACACCUCUCCAUCAAUCCUAACCUCAAUCUUUGUUAGGACUUCCUAACCCCUCUGCCCAUCCAGAAGGAGUUAAUCCUAGAUCUCCAUCCCCACCAGCAGUACAGCUUCCAGCACAGCACUAUAUUCCAAGCACCCCUGCAGCAGGAAUUCUAGCAGCUGGGGAUGAGAAGGGAUUCACAAUUGACCCUGCAGCAGGAAUUCCAGCAGCUGGGGAUGAGAAGGGAUUCACAAUUGGCUUUUUAGAAUCUAGCUCCCACAUCAGGAAGCCAUGGGCCCAUGGACAGAACCAACUGCUCCAAAUGAGAAAGCACCCCAGGAAAUAAAGGCAGAGAUAGCUGAGAGAGAGAAAUGGAGUUGGGGCAAGUUCAUGUGCUCCAGAUUCUUCCUCACUCUGAAACGUCAUGGCAACUUUUGGAGGUUGCCAAAAGGCCAACAAAAACCCUGGUUCCCUCAUCCCACCCCCAACAGUUUCUUAAACACUUUAUGUCCAGCUAAAGUGAAAUCAACAGAUUUCAAAAUCCACACAG
ensembl:lncRNA